rnacentral:lncRNA from 1 species
UCAAAACCAAUCUCAACAUUUUGUUAGUCUUUUAAGAAAAGCACACUUAAAAAAUAAACGCUCCUCCCAAUCCCUUCAAACGGUUUUUAAGGGAACUGUAAUCCACACACAAGGCUUUCAGCUUUUCUUACAUCAGCCUGUGGGUACCAAGUGCAGAACCUUUAGCAGCAGAGGUGGGGGCACACUGUAGGGAAGGGUAGGGAGCUGCUGGCAUUCGCGUUGUGGGUGCACCACUGUGCGUGUGCUGUGACACAACAGCAAUGUGCUCAGCAAAAGGCAAUCAGUGGGCAACCACCCUGGCAGAAACUACCAGGUCUCUUCAGUCUUCUUCUCAGAACACUAACAGCACUAAAAAGACUACCACGAUGUCACAAGCAGAAAGCAGCUGUAAUGCUGGCAUGUCUGAUCUACUUCAACAAGUUUGGAAGAAAUGAAAUGUAAUUUAUUAUAGCCUAUUUAUGUCUGCAACAAUUACCCUUCAAAACCCGAAGGAGAACAAUGUAAUUGAAGGUACAUGCCUUCUUCCCUGCAGAAACCUCAAACAGCCUCAGGCAAGAGCCAAUACAGAUGUAGUACAAGGCAUUAAAAGAGUGUUGGAUGCUGUAGCUAGCAAUUAUCCUGGUAUUUAAACAAAUCUAUCGCUCAUCAGGAAAGCGUUUAGUGCAGUAGUCAGAGCGAGACAGGCUGACACGGAGCACAGCUACUAAACUGUCCCCUCCAGCGAUUACACUUUCUCAGACUGAGAGUCAUGUCAAAUUAAACAACUACACAUUGACUUUUCACUUCUGUAAACAUUAAGGUAUGAUUGACAAUUCUUGGAUGCUAUAAGGUAGUCAUUAUAAUCAGCCAACGAAUUGUUAGCUAAUUCGUGGUGCAGGUUUUUUUCCCCUAUUCUGAGCCACUUCUCCUGGACUAUUUUUACAGCGCCCUGUAGGUAACAUCUGCUUUGGGUUUUUGCAGGGUCACUGUAAUAAAAGGUCAUCGCCACCACCAGACUUUUGUGUGAGAAAACAAUAUACAGUUAAGUGACUUGACCUGGUCUACAAAAUACCAUUUUUUUUCUUUUAGUCCUGGCCCACACUUACCCAUUUAACUCAAAUUAGGAGAUGUCUGGACAGCAACAAUGGAUGCUAACACUGCAGUAAAUAAUGUGACAUCUAGAGUAUUUUCCCUAAUUCCUGCCUUAAGUCAUGGAGAGAGAUCUCUCUGGUCUAUGUAAAACAAAUACUGCAAGAGCAAGGAGUCACCUGGCAGAAUGAGAAAUGAAAUUGUAAGUUCUACCAAAGUGUUCUGAGUACACAUUCUUAAAGACCUCAAGCUUCCUGAAGCCAGUAUCCCUAUGACAGGGAACCACUUACCAAUAUCAGAAGGCUGCAGCCUAGUAAAAUUACUAGAAAUUGAGCAGAUACAUAAAGCAGUCACGGUUGUGAAGAAAUAAAUCCCUUUGAUUUUAUAUGCAACAUUCUGCUGCCUGAAACCACUACGUUAUAAGUGACAGUUUUAC